CAUCAUUUUACUUGGUUCAACAUGGAUUUAGUACAGUAACCAAUCUACUUACAAAUAAAGACAACAGUUGCAAAUAUGAAAUAACCAAAUAUAGGUACUAUGACUUCUCUUAAAAAUCAAACGAAACAUCUGUAAACUAAUAGUAUAACACCAAACACAUCCAUCUCAGUAAGGUAUUAUACUAUCUAUUUUAUUUACACAUUAUUAUACAUACACAAUAGAUUAAUGGUAUCAUUGCAUACUUCUGUGUUGUACUUUGAUCUUUUGGAGGGGUAC